rnacentral:rRNA from 1 species
CCCAGACUCCUACGGGAGGCAGCAGUGAGGAAUAUUGGUCAAUGAGCGAGAGCCUGAACCAGCCAAGUCGCGUGAGGGAGUACUGCCCUAUGGGUUGUAAACCUCUUUUGUCGGGGAGCAAAAGCCGGACGUGUCCGGCUGUGAGAGUACCCGAAGAAAAAGCAUCGGCUAACUCCGUGCCAGCAGCCGCGGUAAUACGGAGGAUGCGAGCGUUAUCCGGAUUUAUUGGGUUUAAAGGGUGCGCAGGCGGAUUUUUAAGUCAGCGGUAAAAUCGUGGGGCUCAACCCCAUCCAGCCGUUGAAACUGGGGAUCUAGAGUGUGCGAGAGGUAUGCGGAAUGCGUGGUGUAGCGGUGAAAUGCAUAGAUAUCACGCAGAACCCCGAUUGCGAAGGCAGCAUACCGGUGCACAACUGACGCUCAGGCACGAAAGCGUGGGUAUCGAACAGGAUUAGAUACCCCAGUA